CCCCCGCCCUGCCCCCCGCGGGCCACCGCGGGUCGGGGUCGCCGCCGGGGCUCGGUCAGUCGGUACCUUCAUGAAGGUCUCUACCGCGCCUUUGGCCGUGUCCAGGAGAAACCAACUCUGGCUAAGACCAGAAAGAAUGUAUUUGAAAGAUGCAGAACAAGUCAUCUGAAAAACAAGGUUCAGGAAGAACAACCCCGGAUUUCCCCAGGGACAGACAGUCAUCUAGGAGCUCAGACACCAUUGUCAAAAUAAAUCCUGCUCCAGUUUUCUUCGACA